CCUACGGGAGGCAGCAGUGGGGAAUUUUGGACAAUGGGCGCAAGCCUGAUCCAGCCAUGCCGCGUGAGUGAAGAAGGCCUUCGGGUUGUAAAGCUCUUUCGGCGGGGAAGAAAAGGUACGUGCUAAUACCACGGACUAAUGACGGUACCCGAAGAAGAAGCACCGGCUAACUACGUGCCAGCAGCCGCGGUAAUACGUAGGGUGCAGGCGUUAAUCGGAAUUACUGGGCGUAAAGCGUGCGCAGGCGGUUUGUUAAGACAGAUGUGAAAUCCCCGGGCUUAACCUGGGAACUGCGUUUGUUACUGGCAAGCUAGAGUGUGGCAGAGGGGGGUAGAAUUCCAGGUGUAGCAGUGAAAUGCGUAGAUAUCUGGAGGAAUACCGAUGGCGAAGGCAGCCCCCUGGGCUAACACUGACGCUCAUGCACGAAAGCGUGGGGAGCAAACAGGAUUAGAUACCCUGGUAGUCCACGCCCUAAACUAUGUCAACUGGUUGUCGGGGAAGCAAUUCCUUGGUAACGAAGCUAACGCGUGAAGUUGACCGCCUGGGGAGUACGGCCGCAAGGUUAAAACUCAAAGGAAUUGACGG
rnacentral:rRNA from 1 species